rnacentral:rRNA from 1 species
CGAACGGGUGAGUAAUAUAUCGGAACAUACCUUGUAGUGGGGGAUAACUAUCCGAAAGGAUAGCUAAUACCGCAUACGAUCUAAGGAUGAAAGCGGGGGAUCUUCGGACCUCGUGCUAUAAGAGUGGCCGAUAUCUGAUUAGCUAGUUGGUGAGGUAAAGGCUCACCAAGGCGACGAUCAGUAGCUGGUCUGAGAGGACGACCAGCCACACUGGAACUGAGACACGGUCCAGACUCCUACGGGAGGCAGCAGUGGGGAAUUUUGGACAAUGGGGGCAACCCUGAUCCAGCAAUGCCGCGUGAGUGAAGAAGGCCUUCGGGUUGUAAAGCUCUUUUGUCAGGGAAGAAACGGUUGUGGCUAAUAUCCAUGGCUAAUGACGGUACCUGAAGAAUAAGCACCGGCUAACUACGUGCCAGCAGCCGCGGUAAUACGUAGGGUGCAAGCGUUAAUCGGAAUUACUGGGCGUAAAGCGUGCGCAGGCGGUUUUAUAAGACAGAGGUGAAAUCCCCGGGCUCAACCUGGGAACUGCCUUUGUGACUGUAAGGCUAGAGUGUGUCAGAGGGGGGUAGAAUUCCACGUGUAGCAGUGAAAUGCGUAGAUAUGUGGAGGAAUACCGAUGGCGAAGGCAGCCCCCUGGGAUAACACUGACGCUCAUGCACGAAAGCGUGGGGAGCAAACAGGAUUAGAUACCCUGGUAGUCCACGCCCUAAACGAUGUCUACUAGUUGUCGGGACUUAAUUGUCUUGGUAACGCAGCUAACGCGUGAAGUAGACCGCCUGGGGAGUACGGUCGCAAGAUUAAAACUCAAAGGAAUUGACGGGGACCCGCACAAGCGGUGGAUGAUGUGGAUUAAUUCGAUGCAACGCGAAAAACCUUACCUACCCUUGACAUGGUUGGAAUCCCGAAGAGAUUUGGGAGUGCUCGCAAGAGAACCAAUACACAGGUGCU